CCCUUAGAUGUCCUGGGCUGCACGCGCGCUACACUGAUGUGUCCAGUAAGCACCUAACCUCUUCCGAAAGGAACGGGUAACCUUUGCAAAGCACAUCGUGAUGGGGAUAGAUUAUUGCAAUUAUUAGUCUUGAACGAGGAAUUCCUAGUAAGCACAAGUCAUCAGCUUGUGUUGAUUACGUCCCUGCCCUUUGUACACACCGCCCGUCGCUCCUACCGAUUGAAUGUUCCGGUGAGCUCUUCGGACUGCGCGGUCUGCAGUUUCUGCGUUCCGCGCGGAAAGUUGCGCAAACCUUAACAUUUAGAGGAAGGAGAAGUCGUAACA
rnacentral:rRNA from 1 species